CCAGACUCCUACGGGAGGCAGCAGUGGGGAAUAUUGGGCAAUGGGCGCAAGCCUGACCCAGCAACGCCGCGUGAAGGAAGAAGGCUUUCGGGUUGUAAACUUCUUUUAAGAGGGAAGAGUAGAAGACGGUACCUCUUGAAUAAGCCACGGCUAACUACGUGCCAGCAGCCGCGGUAAUACGUAGGUGGCAAGCGUUGUCCGGAUUUACUGGGUGUAAAGGGCGUGUAGCCGGGCCGGCAAGUCAGAUGUGAAAUCCCAAGGCUCAACCUUGGAACUGCAUUUGAAACUGUUGGUCUUGAGUAUCGGAGAGGCAGGCGGAAUUCCUAGUGUAGCGGUGAAAUGCGUAGAUAUUAGGAGGAACACCAGUGGCGAAGGCGGCCUGCUGGACGACAACUGACGGUGAGGCGCGAAAGCGUGGGGAGCAAACAGGAUUAGAUACCCCAGUA
rnacentral:rRNA from 1 species